GAGUUUGAUCGUGGCUCAGAUUGAACGCUGGCGGCAGGCCUAACACAUGCAAGUCGAGCGGUAGAGAGAGGCUUGCUUCUCUUGAGAGCGGCGGACGGGUGAGUAAUGCCUAGGAAUCUGCCUGGUAGUGGGGGAUAACGCUCGGAAACGGACGCUAAUACCGCAUACGUCCUACGGGAGAAAGCAGGGGACCUUCGGGCCUUGCGCUAUCAGAUGAGCCUAGGUCGGAUUAGCUAGUUGGUGAGGUAAUGGCUCACCAAGGCGACGAUCCGUAACUGGUCUGAGAGGAUGAUCAGUCACACUGGAACUGAGACACGGUCCAGACUCCUACGGGAGGCAGCAGUGGGGAAUAUUGGACAAUGGGCGAAAGCCUGAUCCAGCCAUGCCGCGUGUGUGAAGAAGGUCUUCGGAUUGUAAAGCACUUUAAGUUGGGAGAAGGGCAGUAAAUUAAUACUUUGCUGUUUUGACGUUACCGACAGAAUAAGCACCGGCUAACUCUAGUGCCAGCA
rnacentral:rRNA from 1 species